AUUUAUUUUAAGACAACAGGUCUGAAGUUGUAUUGUUUAUAGCUGCACUGCUUUUACUCUAUUGGUCGGAUUUUGUAUGUUUUUUUAAUCUAGUAAAUAAUUGUUUAAUCUCCAGCAUUUGAUGCAAUGAACUGAUUGAGUACAUGCAGAAAUCUGCCUUUUCAACAGAGAAUAAAGAAGAGAAACAUUAAAUAAAUAGUUAAAAGGUGAAAAACUAAACAGUAGCUUCCAGCAAACAUAACUAGUGUGAUUCGAAACAGACUGUAGUUCUUCAAUAAGAUGAGCAUCAUAAAUCUGAAGUAUUGUGUUUUCUCUUUCUGUCUUCAGUCUGUGUGGAUGCAGUAUUACAAAGAAACAGAGUCUGAUCCUGACUUCAGCUCUGAAAUCAAACCCAUCACACCUGAGAGAACUGAACCUGAGGAGGAAUAAUCUCGGAGACUCUGGAGUGAAAAGCCUCAGUGAUCUACUGAUGAACACACAAUGCAAGCUGCAGAAACUAGAUCUUGUUGACUGUGGCAUUACAGAUGUUUCUUCUUUAACUCAGUCUUUGAGAAACACAAAAGCGCUGCAGUUUCUAAAAGAGCUUGAUCUGAGUGAGAAUAUGAUUGGAGACUCGAAGCAGCGGCUCAUUGAUGUGAUACGAGACUCAAACUGUAAACUGAGUGUAGAUGCUCAAUCUCCAAAAGAUGAUGGCUGCUGUAUAUCAUAGUUUGAGAUGAUGAUGAGAGGAGCAGUGAACAUCAGGUGGAACAGAGGAAGAAGCUCAGAUGAGUCUGUCUGGAUCUUCAGUUUAAGAUCUACAGAUAUAAUAAUAUUUGUAUUAAACUCAUCCAUAAUGAUUCAUGUGUUUCUAAUCAUAAAUGUGAUUGUCAAGUGCAGCACUUAAAUGUAUCAAAAGAUAUAAAGCAAAUCUACAAUUUCCAUGUCACUUAAAACAUUCACAUGAUCUCUCUCUCAUUUUAUACUCAUUGUUACUCUGUUAUAUUAUAUUAAGUUAAUUAUGUGUGUGUGCUGUUAAUGCACAGAUAUCCAGUAUAUUGUCAGAUGAAGAGAGAUUCUUUCUUAAAUAAAUGCAUGAAACAUAAAACCGUGUGAGUGAUUGUAACAACGGAGUUCAGGAUCCAAACGCAAGGCUUUAUUAAAUCUCCUUUGUUUUCCUCUUUUUC